rnacentral:rRNA from 1 species
GAUGAACGCUGGCGGCGUGCCUAAUACAUGCAAGUCGAGCGAACAGAUGAGGAGCUUGCUCCUCUGACGUUAGCGGCGGACGGGUGAGUAACACGUGGAUAACCUACCUAUAAGACUGGGAUAACUUCGGGAAACCGGAGCUAAUACCGGAUAAUAUAUUGAACCGCAUGGUGCAAUAGUGAAAGACGGGUUUUCUGUCACUUAUAGAUGGAUCCGCGCCGCAUUAGCUAGUUGGUAAGGUAACGGCUUACCAAGGCAACGAUGCGUAGCCGACCUGACAGGGUGAUCGGCCACCCGGGAACUGGGCCACGGUCCAGACUACUACGGGAGGCAGCAGUCGGGAAUCUUCCGCAAUGGGCGAAAGCCUGACGGAGCAACGCCGCGUGAGUGAUGAAGGUCUUCGGAUCGUAAAACUCUGUUAUUAGGGAAGAACAAAUGUGUAAGUAACUAUGCACGUCUUGACGGUACCUAAUCAGAAAGCCCCGGCUAACUACGUG